UCAUUCAAAAUGCCGAAUUCCGUUGAACAUGGAAACGGGGGAACCACUUUCCGGGUGAAUUGAUUUUGGGCGUCGCCAGUCAUUCUCACGCAUGCCGCAGGAAUCAUAGGGAACCUUCAACCGAACCCCACAGCUAACCUCGUAGGCUCUGGAAGGAGCAACU
rnacentral:sRNA from 3 species